GACUGUCUGUGUGGUAGGCAAACGUCAGGCACCAUCGCUGUAAGUGUUCUUUUCCUUGUCGCCCUGGCUGUGGCCAUCGUGAUGGUGGUGAAAGAGAGAAAAGGGGCCAAACUUAUCAACUUUCUAAAGGAGCACAACAGCCGACACGAGAUGAAUCAGUUUCAGGCUACAGCAUCUCACACUGUCGAGCCAGAAAUACUCAUCAGCGGAAAUUCCAUGACGGAUGAUAUAGACAUGCAGACGACAGUGGCAGCAAAGCUGCGAAUAUUGGAGGAGCAGCGGCAGUUCCACCAACCUGCACCGCCUGUGCCUGCGCCUCGGCAGCACAGCAUGCCUACACCGACGAUGAUGACUACGCCAACCACUCCACCGACGAUUGCAUUGUAAUGUUCAACGUGCAUAAAAGAAUUACUUCUAACGUUAUCUACACACGCUUCCGCAAGCAUACGCAUUGCCUUCUGGCCUCUUCCCGCUCCUUCUGUUCCCACCGAGUACGACUAACCUCUUUCCGCUUACUCAUUGUUCCGCUCAACUUUCUCUACCGCCUUCCCCCUUGCUGUUUAGUCUGUGAUCAUUUGAUUCCCCUUUGCCGCUCAACGUUUCUCUGCCAUCUUUUUUCCCCCGCUUGCAUGUUUUCUGCUCUGUAGGAUUGAAUGUACUCGCUUGCUGAUUAAUCUGCUCUCGCUCUCUUGCUUUUGAUGGCUGAGACCCACUCUCUUCAUCUGUGUAUGAGU